UGCAAAAUCAAGCGCACAAAAAAGAUAACAAAUUAACAUAGCAAAACUGCUGUAGAGAUCAGUUUCUCUCUUCUCUGGAGAAGUUUAAAACUCCUCUAAUUUCAUCAAGAUGACCAGAUAGAAGAACCAGAGUUUGUUCUACUAUUUUCAUUGAUAUGAACGGCAGGAGAUUUGUACAAAUGAUGAAUAUAUCGAAGAACCAACAAUGCCAAUGACAGAUUGCGAAAGAAGACGUCUCAAUUGGUGGUUGUAGGCAUGAAAUCUUAAGGGAUUGCACAUGGCUGGUUUGUGACAUACAAAGAUGAAGUAGUGGCUAUAAAAGGCUCACCAAGAUAUAUUGGGUGGUCUAUGGAGCAUCUCAAUGACAGAGACGCAGAAACAUAAAAAUUAAAGUCGCCCUUCUCAUUGUUGGGUUAGAGGUUGAUUUGGAGCUUUUAAUUUGGACAUAAGAUUGAUUAACACAAUCUUAAGGGAAUAAAUUCUCAACAAAUGGUGAUCGUCAUGCCAAAAGUUACAUACAUUAGAAGUGUAGAACAAGGUUGGUGUUGGAGGUUAUAUGGCUCGGCUCGGUCAACCAGUGCCUAUGAUAUACGGACACUUUGAAUUGGAGAUCUGCAGUUUUGAAUGGAUGAAUAAUAUUUUCAUAGCCGCUUUACAAAAAUUUGAGAUGUACUAAAGUUUCUGAAGUACAUUGUUGUUGCUGAGUUUUUAAUAUAUAAAAUUAUGUCUU